rnacentral:rRNA from 1 species
CCUACGGGGGGCUGCAGUGAGGAAUAUUGGUCAAUGGGCGCGAGCCUGAACCAGCCAAGUAGCGUGAAGGAUGACUGCCCUACGGGUUGUAAACUUCUUUUAUACAGGAAUAAAGUGAGGCACGUGUGCCUUUUUGUAUGUACUUUAUGAAUAAGGAUCGGCUAACUCCGUGCCAGCAGCCGCGGUAAUACGGAGGAUCCGGGCGUUAUCCGGAUUUAUUGGGUGUAAAGGGAGCGUAGAUGGGUUGUUAAGUCAGUUGUGAAGGGUGGGGGCUCAACCGUAAAACUGCAAUUGAUACUGGUAGUCUUGAGUACAGUGGAGGUAGGCGGAAUUCGUGGUGUAGCGGUGAAAUGCUUAGAUAUCACGAAGAACUCCGAUUGCGAAGGCAGCUUACUAAACUGCCACUGACAUUGAGGCUCGAAAGCGUGGGUAUCAAACAGGAUUAGAUACCCCAGUAGUC